CAGCCGCCACGGUAAUACGUAGGUGGCAAGCGUUGUCCGGCAUUAUUGGGCGUAAAGGGCUCGCAGGCGGUUUCUUAAGUCUGAUGUGAAAGCCCCCGGCUCAACCGGGGAGGGUCAUUGGAAACUGGGAAACUUGAGUGCAGAAGAGGAGAGUGGAAUUCCACGUGUAGCGGUGAAAUGCGUAGAGAUGUGGAGGAACACCAGUGGCGAAGGCGACUCUCUGGUCUGUAACUGACGCUGAGGAGCGAAAGCGUGGGGAGCGAACAGGAUUAGAUACCCCGGUAGUCCCUGUCUCUUAUAC
rnacentral:rRNA from 1 species